rnacentral:rRNA from 1 species
GGGCCUACGGGAGGCAGCAGUAAGGAAUAUUGGGCAAUGGACGCAAGUCUGACCCAGCCAUGCCGCGUGCAGGAUGACGGCCCUAUGGGCUGUAAACUGCUUUUGUACGGGAAGAACCCCUUCGAUUCUUCGGAGGCUGACGGUACUGUACGAAUAAGCAUCGGCUAACUCCGUGCCAGCAGCCGCGGUAAUCCGGAGGAUGCAAGCGUUAUCCGGAUUUAUUGGGUUUAAAGGGUGCGCAGGCGGAAUGGUAAGUCAGUGGUGAAAUCUCCCGGCUCAACCGGGAAACUGCCGUUGAUACUGCCGUUCUAGAGUACAGUUGGGGUGGGCGGAAUGUGUCAUGUAGCGGUGAAAUGCUUAGAUAUGACACAGAACACCGAUCGCGAAGGCAGCUCACCAAGUUGUAACUGACGCUCAUGCACGAAAGCGUGGGGAUCAAACAGGAUUAGAUACCCCAGUAGUC